UCUGGAAAAAAAAAAAAAAAAAAAAAAAAAAAAAAAAAAAGAAUGAAAAUGGCAACACCAACCAAGUUGUUUUAAAAACUUGGUGUCACCUGUUUGCAUUGCUUAGAGCCUCCCCUGCCUCCUUCCCUGCGAACCUCCCUCUCUUUCCUGAGAAGGCUUUUCUGCUCAUUAGUGAAAUAAGCGUCCCUUUCUCUUCUGUCUCUACUUAGCCACCAAUUAGUCAGGCGAGCAGAAAUGCUCCCCCGCUGCGUACUGUGCUGGGGGCAUUAAGAAGGCGCCACUGCUUUGCUGGUGCUAGCUACUUUUAAAGCUCUUUUAUCUCUCAGGAAAGGGCCUCAAUAGGUUUGCUCUCCCCCCACCCUCACCUCCCAGCCUGUAGCUAUUUCAACCUAAGUACUCAUUAAAGUCAAUUUAAGAUAUUACUAAAACCUUUAUAUUCUUCACAUGAAGCACCUCCACUUGAGUUCAGUUAGACAUAGCUCCCUUUCACAGAUCAAGAGUGCCCGUCUCCACCAGCCUCGGCCCCAACCAAAACACUGACGUCCAACAAGACUGGCCUCCUUAGCCGGGCGUGGUGGCGCACACCUUAAUCCCAGCACUCCGGAGGCAGAGGCAGGUGGAUCUCUGAGUUCGAGGCCAGCCUGGUCUACAAAGUGAGUUCCAGGACAGCCAGGGCUAUACAGAGAAACCCUGUCUCGAAAAAUCAAAAAAAAAAAAAAAAAAAAAAAAAAGACUGGGUAUGGUGGAAAGACACUAUCGUA
rnacentral:lncRNA from 1 species